AUGCACUGGGUAUCUUGGAAAGAACUUGCUUCACCCAAGUUCAAUGGAGGUAUGGGUUUCCGCCACAUGCCACUCUUCAAUCUUGCAUUGCUUGGGAAACAUGGAUGGAGACUCAUGACAAAACCUAAUUCCUUGUGUGCUUGGGUCUUGAAGGGUCACUACUUCCCUGACAUUGAUUUCAUACAUGCAUCGGCGCCCAAGUCUGCUUCGGCGACUUGGCGUGCGAUCAUAGCAGGAAGAGAGGCACUUAAUGCCAGUCUAAUCAAGAGGGUUGGAGACGGGAUUUCUAUCUCAGUCUGGACUGAAAAAUGGAUACCAGGAACUAUAUCGAUGACACCGUUGUCCAGACCACCAGCUACUAAUGUUGAACAUGUGUCGGAUCUUAUUGACACAGCAAACUGA
rnacentral:rRNA from 1 species